GUUACUUGAAAUAGCUUUCUUGAUAGCUGAUAUACAACCCCAGUGAAAAGAUGAGACGGAUAAAUAGAAAGAUUUGUUCUUUCAACUGGGAAGGGGGAUAAUGAGACCUUCUGAGGUGUGUGGUGGUCGGAGGAGAGACUCAGUAAUGAGCUCUAUGAAUCACACUGGGUGCUUUUCUGCCCUCCCUGGAGUUUGAAAUGUGUUUCCCACCAGAAAAAUGGAGAUUCUUAAUAAAGCUGGAAAAAUGAUUUCAAGAUUUUGAAGACUUGAAGGAAUUAUUGAUGAGUUUCCAUCUUCCUGGUAUCUAGUCUCUGAAACCAGAAGAAGCUUCAAGAAGCAGCAAAAGGAAACAACCACCAAAACAAACAAAUCAGCCAAACACAGAACCCUCCACAGAA